UGCAGUCGAGCGGAUGAAGGGAGCUUGCUCCUGGAUUCAGCGGCGGACGGGUGAGUAAUGCCUAGGAAUCUGCCUGGUAGUGGGGGACAACGUUUCGAAAGGAACGCUAAUACCGCAUACGUCCUACGGGAGAAAGCAGGGGACCUUCGGGCCUUGCGCUAUCAGAUGAGCCUAGGUCGGAUUAGCUAGUUGGUGAGGUAAUGGCUCACCAAGGCGACGAUCCGUAACUGGUCUGAGAGGAUGAUCAGUCACACUGGAACUGAGACACGGUCCAGACUCCUACGGGAGGCAGCAGUGGGGAAUAUUGGACAAUGGGCGAAAGCCUGAUCCAGCCAUGCCGCGUGUGUGAAGAAGGUCUUCGGAUUGUAAAGCACUUUAAGUUGGGAGGAAGGGUUGUAGAUUAAUACUCUGCAAUUUUGACGUUACCGACAGAAUAAGCACCGGCUAACUCUGUGCCAGCAGCCGCGGUAAUACAGAGGGUGCAAGCGUUAAUCGGAAUUACUGGGCGUAAAGCGCGCGUAGGUGGUUUGUUAAGUUGGAUGUGAAAUCCCCGGGCUCAACCUGGGAACUGCAUCCAAAACUGGCAAGCUAGAGUAUGGUAGAGGGUGGUGGAAUUUCCUGUGUAGCGGUGAAAUGCGUAGAUAUAGGAAGGAACACCAGUGGCGAAGGCGACCACCUGGACUGAUACUGACACUGAGGUGC
rnacentral:rRNA from 1 species